rnacentral:rRNA from 1 species
UACGGAGGGUGCGAGCGUUGUCCGGAAUCACUGGGCGUAAAGGGCGCGUAGGUGGCGCGGGAAGUCAACGGUGAAAGUUCGGGGCUCAACCCUGAAUCGGCCGUCGAUACUCCCGAGCUCGAGCACUGUAGAGGCAGGCGGAAUUCCGGGUGUAGCGGUGGAAUGCGUAGAGAUCCGGAAGAACACCGGUGGCGAAGGCGGCCUGCUGGGCAGUUGCUGACACUGAGGCGCGACAGCGUGGGGAGCAAACAGG